UAUUUUGGCCAGGAGCUGAAGUUGGUUGUUUAGUAGUAGUAGUUUGAGUAGUGACCGAAGUAGUAGUCUGGUGUGUGGGUGCAAGAGUAGUUGGGGAAGAAUUAGGUGUGGUAAUUGGGGCAGCUGUGGUCUCUUGUGGAGCUGGGGAAGACGGUGGAGCUGGUGUAGUUGCAGAAGGUGUGGGUGGGGCAGCUGUGGUCUCUGGUGGAGCUGAGGAAGAUGGUGGAGCUUGUGUAGUUGCAGAAGGUGUGGGUGGGGCAGCUGUGGUGUCUUGUGGAGCUGGGGAAUUCACUGGUGCUAAUGUAGCUACAGAAGAGCUUGUGUUAACAUUUUCUCUUGAAGAUAUGGUGGUGGCAUUCUGGGGAAGAAAAGUCACAUUUGGAAGGGUAGUAAUUUUGGUGGCUGGUGAGGAUUUGGGAAUUUGGGGGGGUUAUUAGGUGAAGGUGGAAGCUUAGGCCUACAGCGUUUGUGCAG
rnacentral:lncRNA from 1 species